rnacentral:rRNA from 1 species
ACGAACGCCGGCGGCGUGCCUAAUACAUGCAAGUCGAACGCUUUUUCUUUCACCGGAGCUUGCUCCACCGAAAGAAAAAGAGUGGCGAACGGGUGAGUAACACGUGGGUAACCUGCCCAUCAGAAGGGGAUAACACUUGGAAACAGGUGCUAAUACCGUAUAACACUAUUUUCCGCAUGGAAGAAAGUUGAAAGGCGCUUUUGCGUCACUGAUGGAUGGACCCGCGGUGCAUUAGCUAGUUGGUGAGGUAACGGCUCACCAAGGCAACGAUGCAUAGCCGACCUGAGAGGGUGAUCGGCCACACUGGGACUGAGACACGGCCCAGACUCCUACGGGAGGCAGCAGUAGGGAAUCUUCGGCAAUGGACGAAAGUCUGACCGAGCAACGCCGCGUGAGUGAAGAAGGUUUUCGGAUCGUAAAACUCUGUUGUUAGAGAAGAACAAGGAUGAGAGUAAAAUGUUCAUCCCUUGACGGUAUCUAACCAGAAAGCCACGGCUAACUACGUGCCAGCAGCCGCGGUAAUACGUAGGUGGCAAGCGUUGUCCGGAUUUAUUGGGCGUAAAGCGAGCGCAGGCGGUUUCUUAAGUCUGAUGUGAAAGCCCCCGGCUCAACCGGGGAGGGUCAUUGGAAACUGGGAGACUUGAGUGCAGAAGAGGAGAGUGGAAUUCCAUGUGUAGCGGUGAAAUGCGUAGAUAUAUGGAGGAACACCAGUGGCGAAGGCGGCUCUCUGGUCUGUAACUGACGCUGAGGCUCGAA